UUAGAACUAUAGAGAUCCUAAUCGAUAUAUAUGCUUGUCGAUGACUCUUAAAACAACUUGACUCUCUGGGACAAAUCUGCAUGAUGCAAGAAAUGAUAAAAGACAUGAAAAAUGCAAAAGAUGAAACAGAAAGGUUAAUAAGAUAGAAAGGAGAAAGAACAAUGGAUCAGGGGAAGAAUCCCCAUCUCCAUCGCCUAACCCUUGAAAAACAAAGUUUGGUGGCUCAAAAUCUCAUUACAGGAGCACACACCUGUUUAGGACUGCUAAAAAAUGUAUUUAUAGGUCC
rnacentral:lncRNA from 1 species